UACGUAGGGGGCAAGCGUUAUCCGGAUUUACUGGGUGUAAAGGGGGCGCAGACGGCGAUGCAAGCCAGGAGUGAAAGCCCGGGGCCCAACCCUGGGACUGCUCUUGGAACUGCGUGGCUGGAGUGCAGGAGGGGCAGGCGGAAUUCCUGGUGUAGCGGUGAAAUGCGUAGAUAUAUGGAGGAACACCGGUGGCGAAAGCGGCUCUCUGGCCUGUAACUGACACUGAGGCUCGAAAGCGUGGGGAGCAAACAGG
rnacentral:rRNA from 1 species